AGCUUUGUGCAGGGGCAGUAUCCUAGUCAAUGAGGUUUAUCUAAGGUGUCAUUAUUGCUAAUUGAAAACUUUUCCCAACAUCCCGCUCUGACAACAUGAAAUGUAAAAGAUUGUACCAAAGGUGAUACUGCAGUGGUACAAGGGUGUCCGCAAGCUUUAUAGCAAAUUUUAAUUU
rnacentral:snRNA from 1 species